UCCCAUCACAAAAGAAAGAUCUGACCACCACAAACUUCACCCAUCUCUCUCGGCCCUCAUCAAAAUCACAUGUUCCAGUUUCUUCCUCUUCUCACCUUUCUUCCUCUUCUCUCGAUCUGGGUUGGGUUGACUCGAUCUAGAUGUGGUUGGGGGUUGCAAUGGGUGUGGCUGGGUUGGGUUGUGGUGCGUGCCCAGAAAUGUUUGUGAGGUGUGUUGUAAGUGCCAGAGAAGGUGUACUGUAGGGAGCAGAGGCAUGGUCCAUGACGGAGUAAGGGGUGUUGAUUUAUAAGUAUAUUGGCAUUUGGAACAAUCAAUUUUGGCUGCUUAUUUUUCCUUGUUGGUAUUUGAGUUCCUCGUAAGGUGGUGUCAUGUCCAGCAACUGAUUGUGAGGCUUGGUAGCUAAGGAUUUUUUGGUCUUUUCUUUGGUGAAUUGUGCAAUGACUCUACUCAUGUUUUUCAUUUGGGAGAUGAAAUUUAAGUGAUUUGCAGGGAUCGUUGGUAGUUGGUUGCAGAGUGCCUUAGUUGGUGGCAGGAAGUAGGGUGCUCGCAUGGAUGAUUUGGCCAGGAAAUUGUAGGAACUGGAGGGAUUUUUGUUUUGUGUGUCAUUCGGGUUUGCUCGAUCUUCUCAUCUUCAUCGUUUCUGGGUUUUUUCGCUCUUGUUUUUGCUGCUUUGAGUUGGGUUUUUUGAGAUUGGUUGUUGUUGUUGGUGAUGGAGGAGGAAGGAGAGCUUGAGUAUUGUCUGGGUAUUUUUGGUUUCUUGCUGGAAUUUUAUUUUUGGUUGUUGUUCUUGGUGAUGGAGGAGGAAGGAGAGUUUGGCUUCUUGUUUAAGUUUUUAAAUUUUUUUUUUCUGAUUAUUUAAUUGAGUUGGAAUUAAAAAUAAUUUUUAAUUAUUUUUUAAAUUAAAAAAUAAUAAUAAAAGCCACGUGGAAAUGAUGACUGGGAUAAAAUUGAGGGCUGGCACACUUUGGCCUUAAUUGAAUUAAAAAAAAAAUUAUAGGGACCCAAUUUGAUGCAAAAAAUUUCUAGGCCCUGGAUUUGAUUCCCUUUACAAUUUCAGGGGCCUUCUGAUGUAUUAAGCCUAUUUCCAAUAUAUUUCAAAAUGUUAUCUUCCGAAUGGUACUUCUGCCAUUUUUUUAAAAAGCCUGAGUGUUAGAUCUAUUCCCUCGGUGGCAAAUCUAACACCCUUCUUUAUUCUAUUGUUUCAUUCUUUUGGGUUUCCUAAGCCCCUGUUACUGUUUCACAUCUUUCUGAAUUCCCCUCCUCUGCAAUCUCUCAUCUUCCAUCCGUUUAUUGUAUGCCUUAAUGGAUACUUCAGCUUUCGCUCCAAUUUCAUCAUUUCAUUCUCGAAGUUUAAUCAGCAGUGAGAGAAACCGCGCGAGACAACGCUCUCAUAAGAAGGAACCCUUCUUAUGAUUUUCUCCUUCUUAUUCCCCUUUUGAUUGUGGGCUUGAUUUUUAGAACCCCGAUUUCUCGCAGUUUGGGAGAAAUCCACAGCUUUUGUGUGCCGCCGCUGCCUCCGCCUUUGAUACCGCUGCUCGCCGUUGUUUCCUCCGUUCAUUGCUGCGUUGGGUUUCUUUCUCGGCCUUGGUUUAUUGUUGUUCCUCGAAUUUCCUUGCCUCUGUUUUGGCUUAUAAACCUGCUUCUUCUUCUUUUUUUUUCAAUUUGUUAUUCAAUCUAUUUGUUUUUUCUUUGUGCUUUGUGUUGCAUGUUUCUUUUAUUUCCCUUUUGUUUCUUAACCUUGAUCUUUUGGAGAUUUUCCUUACUCUACAGGUUUAGUGAAAAAAUGGCUCAUUUUGUCAAGGUAAGCCCUCUUUUGUUAAUGCGUAGGUUUUUGUGUUAGUGGUGUAUACUAACCAGUUCCCUGUUCUGUAGUUGAGAAAAGGGUUUGAGUUGCCAUUGUGAUCAACGACAUCUGCAAGCCCAAGAAGUGCCUCAGAGUAUAAGAGAUCUGAAUGAUACAAAAUUUGUAGUUGUGUGAUGCCAAUGCUAUACGUGCAUAUAUAUUAUUCUAUGUGGUCAUCACAUCCAUUAUAUUUUUGGGAUUUCUGGGUCAAUUGUUAAGAGAGGUAUAACCUCAUUUAAAUUUGUUAAGUAGAACAAUUUGAAAAUGUUUACUUUAUUUCACUCAACAUGUGAGCCUGGAAUUGCUCUGUUACGAUCUCUGCUUAAACCUUUUUAUUUUUGAGUUGUAGUUCCUUUAAAACACUUUUGCAAUGGACUCGGGAAAUAGAUUCAGGUUUAUCUUAUCACAUUAUCAAGAACCAUUCAUUCUCAAGAAACAUUCGUCUGUAUUGUCUUGGUGACAAAAGAAUGUAUUCCUAAGAUAGAUUCUAACAUUUAAAUGACUAUUGUGAGUCUUGGUUCAUUUUUCAUUCUUAACUUUGUGUGCUUGCCUUUUCUUUCCUUUUUUUAACAAUGGAACAUGUGAUGCAAAUGAGAGGGAGCAGGGGGUAUCUUGGGCUUACGAACACGGUAAGAGAGAAAGAGAAAUAGGGCUUGGUCUCUUUACUUGAAAAAUUAAAAGAAUUUGGGUGAAGUUAGCUUGGUGCAGGUGGUGGCAACAAUUUGAGGAAGGAUUCUUCUAUGGGAAACAAGUGUGUCCAUGGAUAAUAGAUUAUUUUGUUGGUUCCUCCUUCAACCCCUUUUCGUGGUCUGGAUAUGGCGCUCUACAGAACCAAGGGAGGAGAAUGUCGGCGAUGAUCUUGGAUACAAGCGACUGAGUUCGAUGAAGGGAAGAUAGAAUGAAGAGCGAAAGCAAGGUAGGGUUUGGAAUCAGAAGAAGAGGAGAGAAGAGCGCAACGGAAGAGUCAAGGACGAAAAAGGAGUAAAUGAUCAUGAAUUCAGAAUUACGGAUGGAACCUCUAUUUCUUCUUCUACAAUUUUUUAUAGAAGGUUCAUAAGUUGAAGAGGAAGCUAAGACAUGAAAAGAAUGUUCAAAGAGUGUUAUAAUUCCACUGUAUCUGAUCCAUAGAUUAAAGUUACAAAAGGUUAUUACCUGUUGGUCGAUACUGAGUGUCCAUCUAAUAUAACAUGCAUAUUUAGAUUCCUACAUGGAAACUUGCCUUUGUGAACUUAAAGGGCCUUACUCAUCGAGAGAAACUCUUUGAGUAAACACUUAAUAUAACAUACAUAAUUCUUGGA